UAUGGAGGGGGCUAGCGUUAUUCAGAAUUACUGGGUGUAAAGCGCACGUAGGCGGAUUGGAAAGUCAGAGGUGAAAUCCCAGGGCUCAACUUUGGAACUGCCUUUGAAACUCCUGGUCUUGAGGUCGUGAGAGGUGAGUGGAAUUCCGAGUGUAGAGGUGAAAUUCGUAGAUAUUCGGAGGAACAUCAGUGGCGAAGGCGGCUCACUGGCACGAUACUGACGCUGAGGUGCGAAAGUGUGGGGAGCAAACAGG
rnacentral:rRNA from 1 species